GACGAACGCUGGCGGCGUGCUUAACACAUGCAAGUCGAACGGAAAGGCCCUGCGUUUGUGGGGUGCUCGAGUGGCGAACGGGUGAGUAACACGUGAGUAACCGGAUCUUGACUUUGGGAUAACUUCAGGAAACUGGGGCUAAUACCGGAUAGGAGAUGCUGCUGCAGGGAGGGGGUUGGAAAGUUGCGGCGGUUGGGGAUGGACGCGCGGCUGAUCAGCUUGUUGGUGGGUGAGUGGCGUACCCAGGCUUUGACGGGUAGCCGGCCUGAGAGGGUGACCGGCCACCUUGGGACUACGAUACGGCCCAGACUCCUACGGGAGGCAGCAGUCGGGAAUAUUGCACAAUGGGCGGAAGCCUGAUGCAGCAACGCCGCGUGCGGGAUGACGGCCUUCUGGUUGUAAACCGCUUUCGCCUGUGACGAAGCGUGAGUGACGGUAAUGGGUAAAGAAGCACCGGCUAACUACGUG
rnacentral:rRNA from 1 species